GGAAUAGCACAAGGUUUAUAUGACAUCCCAAACAGCCUGAAGUGAAAAGACUGGUGUACCAGACAGAGAACUACUCCACCUUCAACCUGCUACCGCUCAAUGCCAAUAGAGUGAUGAUACCGAAUUAUUCACGAAAA